rnacentral:rRNA from 1 species
UACGUAGGGGGCAAGCGUUGUCCGGAUUUAUUGGGCGUAAAGAGCGUGUAGGCGGCCAGACAGGUCUGCUGUGAAAACUCGAGGCUCAACCUCGAGACGCCGGUGGAAACCGUCUGGCUAGAGUCCGGAAGAGGAGAGUGGAAUUCCUGGUGUAGCGGUGAAAUGCGCAGAUAUCAGGAAGAACACCCGUGGCUAAGGCGGCUCUCUAGUACGGUACUGACGCUGAGACGCGAAAGCGUGGGGAGCGAACAGG